CAGUUCAGACUGCAGGCUGCAACUCGCCUGCACGAAGUCGGAAUUGCUAGUAAUCGUAGGUCAGCAUACUACGGUGAAUACGUUCCCGGGCCUUGUACACACCGCCCGUCAAACCAUGAGAGUUGGCAACACCCGAAGUCGGUAGUCUAACCGCAAGGAGGACGCCGCCGAAGGUGGGGUUGAUGAUUAGGGUUAAGUCGUAACAAGGUAAC
rnacentral:rRNA from 1 species